CUUAAACAAAAACGUUAUAUUAUGAAAAGUAAAAACAGUGUCUAUUUCUUGUUUCAUUUUGGGGUUGUUCGGUUCUUCAUCUGACCUUCAAGAUGUUUCAAGGAAGCAUUUUGCUUGCAUUGAGCAUUUCAUGCAAGGAAUCAAAGAAAAUGCUGGCAAAGAAAUUGAAUUUGAACCCUGGAUACUGUACAACUUCUGCCAGGAAUUUGUAGCAACGUUCUCUGUUUCCUUGUGCUGAUGUAUCAGAAGAGUUCCCCUUCGAACUUCAAUUUUACGGUUAUGUCAUG